rnacentral:misc_RNA from 1 species
AACUUGUUGCAACGUAUCUCUUGGCUCUCGCGUCGAGUAAGAACGCAGCGAAAUGCGAUAAGUAAUGUGAAUUGCAGAAUUCAGUGAAUCAUCGAAUCUUUGAACGCACCUUGCGCUCCUUGGUAUUCCGAGGAGCAUGCCUGUUUGAGUGUCAUUAAAUUCUCAACCUUCCAACUUUUCUUAGCUUGGAUAGGCUUGGAUGUGGGGGUUGCAGGCUUCAUCAAUGAGGUCAGCUCUUCUUAAAUGCAUUAGCGGAACUUUUGUGGACCGUCAAUUGGUGUGAUAAUUAUCUACGCCGUGGAUGAGAAACAGCUUUAUCAAGUUCAGCUUCUAACUGUCCAUUGACUUGGACAAUUUUGACAAUUUGACCUCAAAUCAGGUAGGACUACCCGCUGAACUUAAGCAUAUCAAUAAGCGGAGGCU